rnacentral:rRNA from 1 species
GCGGAAUACCGAGUGUAGAGGUGAAAUUCGUAGAUAUUCGGUGGAACACCAGUGGCGAAGGCGGCUAACUGGACUGGUACUGACGCUGAGGCGCGAAAGUGUGGGGAGCAAACAGGAUUAGAUACCCUGGUAGUCCACACCGUAAACGAUGAAUGCUAGUUGUCUGCGCGCAUGCGUGCAGGUGACGCAGCUAACGCAUUAAGCAUUCCGCCUGGGGAGUACGGCCGCAAGGUUAAAACUCAAAGAAAUUGACGGGGGCCCGCACAAGCGGUGGAGCAUGUGGUUUAAUUCGAAGCAACGCGCAGAACCUUACCCGCGUUUGACAUGCCCUGUUUGGUUACCAGAGAUGGUUUCCUUCAUUUAGUUGGCAGGUGCACAGGUGCUGCAUGGCUGUCGUCAGCUCGUGUCGUGAGAUGUUGGGUUAAGUCCCGCAACGAGCGCAACCCUUAUCCUUAGUUGCCAGCACGUUUGGGUGGGCACUCUAAGGAAACUGCCGGUGCUAAGCCGGAGGAAGGCGGGGAUGACGUCAAGUCCUCAUGGCCCUUACACGCGGGGCUACACACGUGCUACAAUGGCAGUGACAAUGGGAUAAUCCCAAAAAGCUGUCUCAGUUCAGAUUGUCCUCUGCAACUCGAGGGCAUGAAGUUGGAAUCGCUAGUAAUCGCGGAUCAGCAUGCCGCGGUGAAUACGUUCCCAGGCCUUGUACACACCGCCCGUCACACCAUGGGAGUUGGAUUCACCCGAAGGCGGUGCGCUAACC